UUUAAAAGAUGACCUUUGGGACAAAGACUUGUCUUUGUGCCAUCAAAUAGAAAACACCCGAUUCUCUGAGCUACACCUGCAGAACCUCGGGCCUUUCUGCACCUGCCCAGCUCUGCAGAGUAGACGGCAGUUCCUGGCAGCUUACCAGGGCCACCGGAAGGGCUGGCUAAAACCCAGAUGGAAUUUCUGCCCCAGCAGCUCUGGUGGGAAGAAGGACUGGCUCUGCUGUUGAUCCCAGG
rnacentral:lncRNA from 1 species